AAAACUGUCUGUUUGCUUGCCACCAUUCUAGUAAUUUAUCUAUUUAGAAGAACUAAAAUAUUUAGGAAUUUAAUUUAUUGUACCAUUCAAUAUUUUGUAUUGAUAAAUGGGUUGGAAACCGUUGUAAUGUUAUCAGAGUUAUCACCCAAAUCAGCAGCUAUUUAUAUCUGGGUUUUAGUUCUUCAUUUAUGUUCAGUUUUGUAUCAGUUGAACUGGUUGAGUCUUGGCUGCUCUCAUAAGUGCGUUUCUAAUUGUAGUAGCUGUGAAAGUGUGGUUGAGAAUGGCUCUGGGUAUAAAUGCAUUCUGUGUAGAUCCUGACGGAGUGCUGAAACUGCAGCUCCAAUAUUUUUCUUUCACUGUGUAAACCCUGUGCUGAAGAAAUGAAGAUAAUACCUUUCAGGCUGAAAUCUAUCAAUAUAGAUAAUGGCUCAUAUAACUCAGGCUCCAAUAAGCUUACAUUUUUCAUCUCACUCUCCAUAUUUGAUAUUAAUUGAUACCUCUGUUUUCCAACCAGACAUCCCAGACUGAGAAACAUCUACUGCUGUGGGGUCAAAGCCUACAACAUUAAAGACCCACAGAUGAAGUGCUGUGCAGGAACACUGUACAAUCUGACAUCAUUAGAUGAGCAUGGAGGGGAUGCGCAGUGCUGUGGAUCCAUUCUGCAAAAGCCACAGGAGAUUUGCUGCUCAGGUGAGGACAAAGAGGUGCUUUACACUGUCAAGACAGGAUUUGGAUGCUGUGGUCACCUCUAUUACAACACCACUUUGUGGUCGUGCUGCGCUGGGAGGCUUACAUUAAUCAAUGAAUCAGAACAGGAUCAGAGAAAGAUGAUUAAUGAAUACCGACAUUUCUCUGUGAAUAAUCUGAACAAAACUUCUCUUUGCAAUAAAGUGCGCAUUGGGAUUGUGGAAAGUGUGUCUCUGCAUAGCAUUGUUUUCAAGAGCAUGCUAAAAGUCCAUGGGAAGAAGGCCAAAGUCAAAGCUUUGUCUUUGCCGUACACCCUGAAAAUAGUUGAUCACUGCAGCUCCCCUAAACUGAUUCCUGGGAAGAUCUAUAUCUUUAACAACAUUAAUAUUUUCACUGAUUUCAAUCAUCAAUCUGUUCUUCAAUCACUGCAUUUCAUUUUUUCCAAGUGUUCACCUUAGACCAGUAAUCACAUUCUAGUUACAACUGUAUUCUUACUUGUGUUACAAAGGUCAUCUGCUUGAAGACAGAUUAGAAGAAGAGAAAAUCAUUAAAAGUGCCAUAUGGGCAUUUCUUUCAUUUUAGUGCAUUGAAGGACAAGAACGUGCAAGUACAAACUACUUCGAGCUUGAAAGUGACAUGCACAUUGAUCCCAGCCAAGCAGCUAGAGUUCUCAUUCUGUUUAUUUGGGACUGUAGUCUAACUAGUGUGAUGGUACACCUAAGGUCAUGUUAGAGUAAUGCAAAAAAAGAUAAGAUGAAUAAAAAUUAUUUAUUUAUAAAACUAUUUAAAAUGUAAAGUAAUUAAGGAAGUAAUAACUACUUCAAAAUCACCAAGAAAUGUCAAACUUUAAUUACUUUAGUUACAAUUAUGUCUUUACUUGUGUUACUUUUUAAAAAAAACAAUGAGCAAUGUGUAAUUUCUUACUGUUUAUGGGAACCAUCCCAUCUUUAUGUAACAGUACAACAUUCAACCUUACAGACCCACACAACAAAAAAAGAAGAUAUAAACGUGAUCAUCUUUAGGUAUAGCCACAAUUACCAGCAAAGUUAGUGGAAAAACAGGUCAAAAUUUUCAAAUAGCCAGUUCAGUAGAGUUCUCUGAAAUUGACACAGUCAUCUUAAGCAGCGGUCCCCAACCUUUUUUGCGCCACAGACCGGUUUAUGCCCGACAAUAUUUUCAUGGACGGACCUUUAACACACGUGAAAAGACCCAGGAAAACCGAGUUAACGAUCAAAACGAUAACAAAAUAACGCUGAAAACUGAUAAAAACCCUGAAAACCAUACAUUUCAUACCUGAGCCUCUACUCUCGCAGCCUGGUACCAAACGACUCACGGACCGGUACCGGUCCGAGGCCCGGGGGUUGGGGACCGCUGAUCUUAAGCACUGCUCAGGGUUUUAGGGUCCUUUUUCAGGUUCUUGACAAGAAUUGAAUCCUGUUUGCAGCAAUGGAUAGAUGCUUCUCACAGUGAAAUCAAUGUAUUGCACUAAUCUCAAUUGCUCAAUGUUGUACACCACUUUAUUUUUUGUGUUUCUGCAAGGUGAGCCCACUUAAUUGUUGCAUUGUUGCAUACAUGAAAAAGCUAAAACUGUUUUUUUAAGUCAAACCCACACUAUUGAAUGUAUGCAUGUAUUAUAAAUCAUAUGUUUUAUUUUACUAGCUAAAGCUAGAGAACAAUAAGCACUUACUUCUGAAUUUCAUAGAUGUUAUAAGAAUUGCUAUUUCUUCUUAACUACCCAACUGUGUUCACCUUUGUGUAAGCUGUAGUUACUUUUUAACGAGAAUGUGAUUUACGUAAUGUGAUUAAAGAUAGAGUACUGUAACUGGCAGAUGCAGAGUGGGUACUAUGGAUGAGCCCCAGGGGUCCAGGCUCAUCCAAUAAAGUUAUAGUGCCUCCUGAGCUGAAUUGUAUGCUAUACUGUAACUAAGUUACACUAAUUCACACAAUUUGGUGAUUAAAAAAAACGCCAAACAAACCUUGGACCUAUCCAGGUCAAACUUUGGGAAGUGCCUUUCUCUUUGAAACCAAAAAAAAAAAAAAAAGAUUCGUCAGGUUGUGAAGCUAGUUUUAAAUCAUGACCCUAUUCAAAGGUUUCAAAAUAAAUGGAAAUCUGUUCAAGAUAUUUACUUAGGUUUAUUGAGCCACUUCUGCACUUCUGUCUCUUUUCCUCUGCAAUAUAAGACAGAUGCAUUUUUUUAAAAAUAUUUCUCUGUGAAUGUUUGGUGCUAUGCAUGUAUUUAUAUUUAAUUUUCCUAUAGAAUAGUAAUGUGACUUGUGUUGAAUGACUCCUGUCAAAGUUGGUUGUUCUUCCAGUUCAUAUGGUCUGCAAUUGACCCAGGGUAAAGGUUUGCCAUUUUUGUACUGUAUAUUGCUUUAUUAGAAGUUGCUGACAUCUGUCAUUUUUUGAGUUGAUUUAUUAAAGAAAACAAUAUUGUACUCAUAAAUGCACAUUUAUUAUUGUCUAAUUCUGUCUUCCAACAAACCGAUGUAGUUCAAGGGCUUAAAAUGAAUCCAUUAAAAUACAUAAGACUGGGGCCAGUUUUUUGCACCACCAUCUUAAAUACAGUAGCCAAGAUGAAUAUUGCCAAUCUAUCUAACUACGAUUUAUGUAUGUGGCUAUGUACUGGUCACAUGUGGACAACAGAACUCACUGACAUUUGCAUACUAUGGAGACAAAGUUUAAGACUUGAAUUAGGAGAAGUAAGAAAGCAGAAUUAAGUUGAAGGCAAUCUACUAGUAAUUGGCGGAACCACAAAGAGGAACACAACAUAGAUUUUCCAAAGAAGGUUUGACUGUUGUACUAAAUUUUGUAUAUAUUUAAGUUUAUUUGAACCACUUUCUAAUGCACUGAACUAUAAUCUUGAAGGCAGAGUGAUCAAACGGUAUUCAAUGUCAAAAUUAUUCUAUACAUGUGUAGCCCUGUGUUACGGCCAUAGCAGGGCCUCUCUCUCCUGAGGGUGCCUGUGUGGGCGUGUCCCACUACCUCCUGCCUGAGAUGCCACCUUUCCCGCCGGUACAGCUGAUUCCCAUUAGCGAUUAAAGGUAUUUAAGCCCAGAGCAGGGUGAGCUCUGGGCCAGAGUGCCAUUUUGUGUGGGCCCAGCUAGUGAGCUGAGUGUCUUGUGGUGUUUCCAGCUAGUGAGCUGUGUUUGUGGUUUCCAGCUGGUGAGCUGUGCUUUCCUUUUGACUUUUUGCUUUAUUUGACCAACGCCUGAGUUUUGUUUGUUUCUUUUAUGGUGAUAACGGCUUGUCCGUCUCUUUUAGUUGAAUAACUUCAAUAAAACUUUUAUUUAACUGUUUUGCCUCCCUGUCUCCUUUUUCUGACCCGGUCACUUUUGUUGCUUCCCCCUUAACGCCUAGA